UACGGAGGAUGCAAGCGUUAUCCGGAAUUAUUGGGCGUAAAGCGUCCGCAGGUGGUUAUCCAAGUCUGCUGUUAAAGCGCGAGGCUUAACUUCGUACAGGCAGUGGAAACUGGGUGACUGGAGUAUGGUAGGGGUAGCGGGAAUUCCCAGUGUAGCGGUGAAAUGCGUAGAUAUUGGGAAGAACACCAGCGGCGAAAGCGCGCUACUGGGCCAUUACUGACACUCAUGGACGAAAGCUAGGGGAGCGAAUGGG
rnacentral:rRNA from 1 species